CACUCUCUCUUAUGAUUAUUUUUACUGAACGAAUGAAGUAUUAAUUUCUGUACAUAUUUUGAUUGUGUUGCUUUGUUCUCCAACUUUCUUAUUAUUGUAUGUACACACUUGGGGCGUGUUUGAAAAGUGUGUUGAGUUAACGACAUUUUCACAAAUCCAAUGAAAUGUUAUUGGGUUUGGGCCGGUAACGCUGUAUGGACUCAGUGUUUGGUAGCAGUUUGUUAGAGGGUCAAAAUUGUAGUACGUGAGGCCAUUUGAUAACACAUGAUAUUGUCAAGAAAUUAGGAUAAAAUGUCGAAAAUAUCCUUAAGAUUAGGGGAUGAGAAAUCAUUCUCUUUCUCUGGUCAGAAUUGGCAGAAAAUCACUGACAUGAAGAAGAAGAACUAUUCUCUCUCUCUUUCUCUGUCUCUCUCUCCCUCCCCGUCGUGAACCGCUCCGGCGAGACUGUGUCCGGCUGAGGGUGCCGCCUCUCGUCUGUUCCCCCCCUAUCGAUGCCUUGGUCAAUUUCUCAACCAAGCAACCUCGCUCAACUCUCUCUCUCUCUGGGGUCGGAAGUGACCAGGAAAGAAAUUUGCAGAAAUUGAAAAAGAAGGUGUCGACGGGAGUGGCGAGAAAUUUGCAGAUUUGGAAUUAAAGCAUCAGUUACUUAAUUAUGGUAAAAACUCAAAAGCAGAAACCACGAAGAAAUUUGGGAGUGAUGAGAAAUUUGCAGAUUUGGUGCUUAUAUGAAUUUGGGCGUGACGGAAAGAUAAUUUGGCGGAUUGUGGGAGUAGCAAUGUUGGUUGAAGUUGUAGAAGCAGUUUGAGCGAGGUUUCUCAAAUCGGAGGCGCGUGGAAGGUCGAAUGGCGAAUCAAAUAUUUUGAAUUUAGCUUUAUUUAAAGAUGUUAUUUUGAGUAAAGUAUUUUAAAUAAAAAUUUAUAUCAUGAUUUUCUCACUAAAUAUUUAUUUAUAUUCAUAGUUUUUUCGCACAAAUAUACAUUGAAAUUUUAGUUAGAUUUGGGUGUCAUAGCAAGGGAAGUGGGCGACGAGGGCGAGGGCGGGGGAUGGAGGCAGCGGCCCAAUUGACGGUGGUCGACGAUUACCGUGUCAGAGGAUGGAGGUGGCGUCCCAAUUGACGAUGGUCGAAUGGAGGCGGCGCAUGCAGAAGUUGCGCAACCAAUUCCCAAACUUUCAAUCUGCUCAAAUGGGAGAAAUUGAGGCAAUUAUGUGAGAAAGAAACAUAACCAGAGUUACUGUAGAAGUCUAACAUCGCUACCGGGGCUCCCCCGCAUCUGGAUCCUCGUUUGAAUAGUAUUUUUGGAUCGGGUCAAUGUUUUUGUGCGGGCUUCGCAUAUUGUGUGGCUUGAUUAUCAAACGUGAAAAUAAGCCAAGUUAGCGUCCAAAA